rnacentral:rRNA from 1 species
GCAGCAGCCGCGGGAAAACGUAGGGUGCAAGCGUUAAUCGGAAUUACUGGGCGUAAAGCGUGCGCAGGCGGUUCGCUAAGACAGAUGUGAAAUCCCCGGGCUUAACCUGGGAACUGCAUUUGUGACUGGCGGGCUAGAGUAUGGCAGAGGGGGGUAGAAUUCCACGUGUAGCAGUGAAAUGCGUAGAGAUGUGGAGGAAUACCGAUGGCGAAGGCAGCCCCCUGGGCCAAUACUGACGCUCAUGCACGAAAGCGUGGGGAGCAAACAGGAUUAGAUACCCCGGUAGUCCCUGUCUCUUAUAA